rnacentral:rRNA from 1 species
UACAGAGGUCUCAAGCGUUGUUCGGAUUCAUUGGGCGUAAAGGGUGCGUAGGUGGCGCUGUAAGUCGGGUGUGAAAUUUCGGAGCUUAACUCCGAAACUGCACUCGAUACUGCGGUGCUUGAGGACUGGAGAGGAGACUGGAAUUCAUGGUGUAGCAGUGAAAUGCGUAGAGAUCAUGAGGAAGACCAGUGGCGAAGGCGGUUGCCUGGGGCUUUGCUGACGCUGAUGCGCGAAAGCGUGGGGAGCGAUCCGG